UACUCCUACGGAGGCAGCAGUAGGGAAUCUUCGGCAAUGGACGAAAGUCUGACCGAGCAACGCCGCGUGAGUGAAGAAGGUUUUCGGAUCGUAAAACUCUGUUGGUAGAGAAGAACGUUGGUGAGAGUGGAAAGCUCAUCAAGUGACGGUAACUACCCAGAAAGGGACGGCUAACUACGUGCCAGCAGCCGCGGUAAUAC
rnacentral:rRNA from 1 species